rnacentral:rRNA from 1 species
AUUGAACGCUGGCGGCAUGCUUUACACAUGCAAGUCGAACGGCAGCGCGGGCUUCGGCCUGGCGGCGAGUGGCGAACGGGUGAGUAAUACAUCGGAACGUGCCCAGUAGUGGGGGAUAGCUCGGCGAAAGCCGGAUUAAUACCGCAUACGACCUGAGGGUGAAAGCGGGGGAUCUUCGGACCUCGCGCUAUUGGAGCGGCCGAUGGCAGAUUAGCUAGUUGGUGGGGUAAAGGCCUACCAAGGCGACGAUCUGUAGCUGGUCUGAGAGGACGACCCGCCACACUGGGACUGAGACACGGCCCAGACGCCGACGGGAGGCAGCAGUGGGGAAUUUUGGACAAUGGGCGAAAGCCUGAUCCAGCAAUGCCGCGUGUGUGAUGAAGGCCUUCGGGUUGUAAAGCACUUUUGGCGGGAACGAAAAGGACUGUGCCAAUACCACGGUUCGAUGACGGUACCCGCAGAAUAAGCACCGGCUAACUACGU